GGAACUCGGCAAAUUGCCUCCGUAACUUCGGGAGAAGGAGGCCCGGGCAUUGGGCAACCAGUGUCCGGGGGCACAGACCAGGGGGUAGCGACUGUUUACUAAAAACACAGGACUCUGCGAAGUCGCAAGACGACGUAUAGGGUCUGACGCCUGCCCGGUGCCGGAAGGUUAAGAGGAGAGGUGAGAGCUUUGAAUCGAAGCCCCGGUAAACGGCGGCCGUAACAAUAACGGUCCUAAGGUAGCGAAAUUCCUUGUCGGGUAAGUUCCGACCUGCACGAAUGGCGUAACGAUGGGGGCGCUGUCUCUACCCGAGACUCAGUGAAAUUGAAAUCGCCGUGAAGAUGCGGUGUAUCCGCGGCUAGACGGAAAGACCCCGUGAACCUUUACUAUAGCUUCACAGUGAACUUUGAGCAUGUUUGUGUAGGAUAGCUGGGAGGCUUUGAAACCAGGACGCCAGUUCUGGUGGAGCCAACCUUGAAAUACCAGCCUGACCUGUUUGAGGUUCUAACUUCGACCCCUUAUCGGGGUUAAGGACACUGUGUGGUGGGUAGUUUGACUGGGGCGGUCUCCUCCCAAAGCGUAACGGAGGAGCACAAAGGUGGGCUAAGCAUGGUCGGACAUCAUGCGGUUAGUGUAAUGGCACAAGCCCGCUUAACUGCGAGACAGACACGUCGAGCAGGUACGAAAGUAGGUCAUAGUGAUCCGGUGGUUCUGUAUGGAAGGGCCAUCGCUCAACGGAUAAAAGGUACUC
rnacentral:rRNA from 15 species